GAUGAACGCUGGCGGCGUGCCUAAUACAUGCAAGUCGAGCGAACAGACGAGGAGCUUGCUCCUCUGACGUUAGCGGCGGACGGGUGAGUACCACGUGGAUAACCUACCUAUAAGACUGGGAUAACUUCGGGAAACCGGAGCUAAUACCGGAUAAUAUAUUGAACCGCAUGGUUCAAUAGUGAAAGACGGUUUUGCUGUCACUUAUAGAUGUAUCCGCGCCGCAUUAGCUAGUUGGUACGGUAACGGCUUACCAAGGCAACGAUGCGUAGCCGACCUGAGAGAGUGAUCGGCCACACUGGAACUGAGAGACGGUCCAGACUGCUACGGGAGGCAGCAGUAGGGAACCUUCCGAAAUGGGCGAAAGCAUGACGGAGCAACGCGGCGUGGGUGAUGAAGGUCUUCGGAUCGUAAAACUCUGUUAUUAGGGAAGAACAAAUGUGUAAGUAACUAUGCACGUCUUGACGGUACCUAAUCAGAAAGCCACGGCUAACUACGUG
rnacentral:rRNA from 1 species